rnacentral:misc_RNA from 1 species
GCAAACUUGGUCAUUUAGAGGAAGUAAAAGUCGUAACAAGGUCUCCGUUGGUGAACCAGCGGAGGGAUCAUUAACGAGUUCUCGCAACUCCCAAACCCAUCGCGAACCUUACCAAUCGUUGCUUCGGCGGUCGAGGCCCCGCGGCGCCCCAGGGCGCCCGCGGACCCAGGCCCCCGCCGGAGGCACCCAAACCCUGAUUUCAGCGGCCCCAGGCCGAGAAUUCUGAACAGCCCUAGCGGGCGAAAAAAGCAAAUGAAUCAAAACUUUCAACAACGGAUCUCUUGGUUCUGGCAUCGAUGAAGAACGCAGC